GGGCUCACUUCAGCAGCACAUAUACUAAAAUUGGAAUGAUACAGAGAACACUAGCGUGGCCCCUGUGCAAGGAUGAUGUGCAAAUUUGUGAAAUGUUUCAUAUAUUU
ensembl:snRNA U6 U6 spliceosomal RNA